GUGCUCACUUCAGCAGCACAUGUACUAAAACUAGAACGAUACAGAGAAGAUCAGCAUGGCCCUGGGGCAAGGAUGACAUGCAAAUUCAUGAAGCGUUCUAUGUUUUU
ensembl:snRNA U6 U6 spliceosomal RNA